AUCAAGUGCAAGCUCAUCGCUUGUAGUAAAAGUAGAUACAAACACGCUCGCUUAACUGGAGACCCAAAUCUUUUGUGAAAUGGCAUGGCCUUCUCUCUGUCUGCCCUCCUCCUCAAUUCCAUUGCAGCACUCUCCUUGACCCUCCUCUCCAUUUUCCUUUUCUCCAAAUCACCACUCCAGUCCUCAACAUCUCCUCAAAUCCCCCACAGAUCUCUCCUCUCCCAAACCCAGAACCAGACUCUCCCUCUCUCUUGCUCCUCCCUUUCCCCCACGAAUGGCCUCAUCAACUACCUUUCUCUCCACUUUUGCCUUUUCAAGGGGAAUCUUUUCCUCUCGAUUCCUU
rnacentral:misc_RNA from 1 species